rnacentral:rRNA from 1 species
GAUGAAUGCUGGCGGCGUGCUUAACACAUGCAAGUCGAGCGGUAAGGCCCUUUUAGGGUACACGAGCGGCGGACGGCUGAGUAACGCGUGGGAACAUGCCCUAAAGUGAGGAAUAAGCGCCAGAAAUGGAGUCUAAUGCCGCAUAUGAUCUCCGGAUUAAAGGAUUUAUCCGCUUUAGGAGUGGCCUGCGUACGAUUAGCUUGUUGGUGAGGUAAUGGCUUACCAAGGCGACGAUCGUUAGCUGGUCUGAGAGGAUGACCAGCCAGACUGGAACUGAGACACGGUCAGACUCCUACGGGAGGCAGCAGUGAGGAAUCUUCCACAAUGGGCGAAAGCCUGAUGGAGCAACGCCGCGUGCAGGAUGAAGGCCCUCGGGUCGUAAACUGCUUUUAUGAGUGAAGAAUAUGACGGUAACUCAUGAAUAAGCACCGGCUAACUACGUGCCAGCCGCCGCCGUA